GGGUGCGAUCAUACCAGGCGCUAAUGCACCGGAUCCCAUCAGAAACUCUCAAAUUGAACAAUACUUGGGGCGAGAGUAGUACUAGGAUGGGUGACCCCCUGGGAAGUCCUUGUGUUGCACCCC
rnacentral:rRNA from 1 species